UACGUAGGGUGCAAGCGUUGUCCGGAAUUAUUGGGCGUAAAGAGCUCGUAGGCGGUCUGUCGCGUCGGCUGUGAAAACCUGGGGCUCAACCCCAGGCCUGCAGUCGAUACGGGCAGACUAGAGUCCGGCAGGGGAGACUGGAAUUCCUGGUGUAGCGGUGAAAUGCGCAGAUAUCUGGAGGAACACCGGUGGCGAAGGCGGCAUCCUGGACCAACACUGACGCUGAGGAGCGAAAGCCAGGGGAGCAAACGGG
rnacentral:rRNA from 1 species